AAUCAACGCUGGCGGCGUGCCUCAGACAUGCAAGUCGAACGAUUAAACUUUCCUUCGGGAAAGAUAUAAAGUGGCGCACGGGUGAGUAACACGUAAGUAAUCUACCUUUGAGUGGGGAAUAACGUUCGGAAACGGACGCUAAUACCGCAUAAUGCAGCGGCAUCGCAAGAUGACAGUUGUUAAAGAUUUAUCGCUUGAAGAGGAGCUUGCGGCAGAUUAGCUAGNGGUAAGGUAACGGCUUACCAAGGCUACGAUCUGUAUCCGGUCUAAGAGGACGGUCGGACACACUGACACUGAAUAACGGGUCAGACUCCUACGGGAGGCAGCAGUCGGGAAUUUUGGGCAAUGGGGGAAACCCGUGACCCAGCAACGCCGCGUGAAGGAUGAAGUAUUUCGGUAUGUAAACUUCGAAAGAAUAGGAAGAAUUAAUGACGGUACUAUUUAUAAGGUCCGGCUAACUACGUGCCAGCCGCCGCCGUAAC
rnacentral:rRNA from 1 species